UCUAAAUUUGCGGAGAACAAAUUAACUGAAUCAAUGAAUCCCCUUUACUCCCCCCGUACAAUAAAAUACGCUGCUGCAAAUCUUACUCUCAAAUGCAAGUACGAACAAAUAAGAAAACGACAACCACCCUCGUUAAUUCACAGUCAUUAUCACUCCAGGUAGGUGUCUAUGCGAAAUAUUUCAUAGACAACACUUAUCGCACUUCUGCUACACCAACCACUAAGCAAUGUUUUAAAACCAUAUUUGCUACUGAGAGCUAUUUAUCGGGAGUGUUAAAAUCUUGAAGGAACGUAUUCUCUCAGCCACUGCAGGUCUUCUGCUCUUCCUGUCCCUCUGCGGCAGAGAAUGGAAUUAACGAG
rnacentral:lncRNA from 1 species